UUAGAGUUUGAUCCUGGCUCAGGAUGAACGCUAGCGGCAGGCUUAACACAUGCAAGUCGAGGGGCAGCGAGGGUAAUAGCAAUAUUACCUGUCGGCGACCGGCGCACGGGUGCGUAACGCGUAUGCAACCUACCAUCAACAGGGGGAUAACACUGAGAAAUUGGUACUAAUACCCCAUAAUAUCUCAUGCGGCAUCGCAUGGGGUUGAAAACUCCGGUGGUUGAUGAUGGGCAUGCGUUGUAUUAGCUGGUUGGUGAGGUAACGGCUCACCAAGGCGACGAUACAUAGGGGGACUGAGAGGUUAACCCCCCACAUUGGUACUGAGACACGGACCAAACUCCUACGGGAGGCAGCAGUGAGGAAUAUUGGUCAAUGGACGCAAGUCUGAACCAGCCAUGCCGCGUGCAGGAUGACGGCUCUAUGAGUUGUAAACUGCUUUUGUACGAGGGUAAACCCCGAUACGUGUAUUGGGUUGAAAGUAUCGUACGAAUAAGGAUCGGCUAACUCCGUGCCAGCAGCCGCGGUAAUACGGAGGAUCCGAGCGUUAUCCGGAUUUAUUGGGUUUAAAGGGUGCGUAGGCGGUUUGAUAAGUUAGAGGUGAAAUGUCGGGGCUCAACCCCGAAACUGCCUCUAAUACUGUUGGACUAGAGAAUAGUUGCGGUAGGCGGAAUGUAUGGUGUAGCGGUGAAAUGCUUAGAGAUCAUACAGAACACGAUGCGAAAAGGCAGCUUACCAAACUAUAUCUGACGUUGAGGCACGAAAGCGUGGGUAGCAAACAGGAUUAGAUACCCUGGUAGUCCACGCAGUAAACGAUGAUAACUCGUUGUCGGCGAUACACAGUCGGUGACUAAGCGAAAGCGAUAAGUUAUCCACCUGGGGAGUACGUUCGCAAGAAUGAAACUCAAAGGAAUUGACGGGGGCCCGCACAAGCGGAGGAACAUGUGGUUUAAUUCGAUGAUACGCGAGGAACCUUACCCGGGCUUGAAAGUUAGCGACGACGCUUGAAAGAGCGUUUCCCUUCGGGGCGCGAAACUAGGUGCUGCAUGGUUGUCGUCAGCUCGUGCCGUGAGGUGUCGGGUUAAGUCCCAUAACGAGCGCAACCCCUACUGUUAGUUGCCAUCAGGUGAUGCUGGGCACUCUAGCGGGACUGCCGGUGUAAGCCGAGAGGAAGGUGGGGAAGACGUCAAAUCAGCACGGCCCUUACGUCCGGGGCCACACACGUGUUACAAUGGUAGGUACAGAGGGCAGCUACCCUGCGAAGGGGUGCGAAUCUCGAAAGCCUAUCUCAGUUCGGAUUGGAGGCUGAAACCCGCCUCCAUGAAGUUGGAUUCGCUAGUAAUCGCGCAUCAGCCAUGGCGCGGUGAAUACGUUCCCGGGCCUUGUACACACCGCCCGUCA
rnacentral:rRNA from 1 species